GGUUGAUGAAUAAGUAUGAAGGAGAAAAACAAUCUAAAUCACCCCUUAGUACCACUACCACCAUCAUCACAGCAAAUCCACUUCCAAGAUAUAUCACAACACCAAUGUUGUGGUGUAUAUUGAGCAUGAUUAGGAUAUGAUUGUGGAUAACUUUGAAAAUUUUCAACAGCACCAUGACGAGCACUUUGUGUGAUUCCAACCAACAAAAAGCUCCCAAUCGCAAGAACCAAUAUCACUAACUUAGAAAUUUCCAUCAUGACUUUGCAAAUU
rnacentral:lncRNA from 1 species